AUACGUAGGGUAUAAAGAAAAAAAAUGAUUGGGGUUAGAGAUGCAUGUUUGAACUUAUCAACAAUAUUAAAGAUAUUAUACAAAAAUAUACCAAAAGAUAUUGGAGAUAAUAUCUAGAUGAGAUAAUAUCUAGAUGAGAUAAUAUACAAAAAGAUAUUGGAGAAGGAUAAGCAAAGAAUUUAGAAUUGGAGCCAAAAGCCAACAACAAUUUUUAAAACUCAAAACAAAAAUUAAAAACAAAACAAGUAGAAAAAUAAAACAUUCAGGGGUCAAGUAGAGAUAGAAGAACAGGAAAGAAGAUAAGCGGCUAGAGAGGUAAGAAGCAGUGAAGAGGAUGAAACUGAAAAAACAUGGUGGCCUGAGAAAAAGCUAAAGGUCUUCUAAUCUGAAUUAUUUUGAGAGAAGAUUAAGUCAAAGAAGGACUAAGUAGAAGUAAAACAGUCAACUUCUUCUGCUGCCUUUAUGGAUGAUAAGAGUACACAUAAGAUCCCAGAGUCAGGAAACCCAAAUUUGCCUUCUAAAGCAAACAAAAUACAUGGCCACACUGUUUAAUUAUAGUUUCUUAAUCAAUGCAACUUGGAGACUUCCAUCUUUGUUCGAUUUCACAAACCAACUGUACUCUGACUUGCAAUGUUGAUGUCUAAAGGUCUAUAACAACCAUGAGAUAUGAUAAUCAUGUACAUUUUUUUUUUCUUCGUGAUCAGCUUCCUUGUAAACCUGGUUAAUUCUGGCAAUCUUGUGAUUAUCAUUUUAAAUAAAAGUUGUUUUUUUUUUUUAAUUUGGUUGGGACCAUCUUGCUCCCUUUUCAACCUUUCUUUGCAAGUAAGUCUUUCUCUAAAGCUAUCUCAACAAUAAUUUUUCCUCUUAGCCAGUUCUGCAGAUUCUUCCAAAAUGCAUCAGAGCUGAUUAAACUCUGUUUUUAAACAUGGCCCCUCAAAGGUUGAUUGCGCCAGGGCUAUGUUCUUCAGAUAAUGAAAUGAAUCUUGUAUAAUAAUGAAACUUUUACACUCAUGGACUGGAUUGCGCACUAUUCCAGUGUGACCCCUGAAACUAACCACUCUAUUCUAAUGUUAAUAUUUAUACUCAAGAGGCAUCGAGCUAGUAUUUGCACUGAUUGCAAGACUAUUUCUUAGUGAAUUAAAUUACACAGUACAAUUUUGCAGAAAUUGCUUUGGCUGACUUUAAGAUAUUUCAAAAUGUAAUUAUCUGUGAAAUUGAAAGAUUUCAUAUUUAUUGAUAUAAACUCUUUUAUUUGUAUUAAAUAAACAUUUCAUUAAAUGUGCUGACAAAUAUAUAUAAGGGCAAUCUGCUUUAUAUGUUUUUAUUUAUUUUAGUGAUGAUGCUUUGUUCUGUUUACUUAAGAAUAUUAUGGUAUUUUCUUUUAUAAAAUUACUACUUGUUCUAUUUCUUAUUUAUUUAAAAGAUUGAGAUUUCAUAUUAAUAUUCAAAGACAUAUAGAAUACUGUGAGGCAAUAUUUUUCAUUCUGCCUUACAAAAAUAUAUAUUUUUUUGUUUUAAAGGUGUGAAUAAUAAAAAAUAGUCUAAAAUCUCUAUGGAAAGAAAUGAAUAUAUUGAAAAUAAUAGUCUUAAAAUUAAAUACAUAUUUUCUCACUACCUUGAACACAUUGUGAGAUUGGAAAUCUUUUAUUCACUUCCAAUCAUAGAAACAUUAUGCUUUCUGUUUUCAUUUACUGCCAUUUCCUUUCACUUUUCAAAGCAUUUUCUGAAAGUAGCCUUUUUCCAUCUCUCUUUUUUCUAAAUAGCAGAUUAAGUCGCCCUAAAUAGAAAGAGUGCCAAUUACCCACCAUUAUCAGUACUCUAAAACCUUAGGCCUCUUAAAUAAAAUGUAUUUGGCUAUGAUUCUGCUGAUCAUAGUGAUUAAAUCUGGGCUGUUUAGAAAUGAGUAAAUAAAUAAAGCUUAAUUGUUAAUCAUCAAAGUCUUAUAGGGGAAAAAAAGCAAUAGAAUGGAGUGAAAACUCUUAAAAACAGUUUGAAAAGAAUGUAGUGUUAUCAUAUGAACUGAAAAAUGUCCUUAAUUUUCAGGUAUGAUUUACAUAGGAAUCUAAUCUUGCUUACUGAAAUUUGGUAAUAUUAGAUUAUGAGAUAUAGUAGGUAAUUUUCCUCUUUGUAAUUAACAUAAAAUGAAAUGACAUAAUUUCUAUCAUUAAAACAUCUCAAUUUCACUGGUAAUAAAGCUUUAAUUGUAUAAUAAUAAUAUUAUCAAUGUUAAAGUAUUCAAAUGGAGGCAGGUCUCUGUGGGAGAGAAAGAUAAAGCAUAGAACAUUACUUUCUUUUUUAAAAUGACCUCUUAAUGUAGGAAAUUUAUUUUCUCAUUUAUUUAUGGAUCUGUGCACCUAUUUUCAGAAAGUGCAGUUUGUUUCUGUGUGAAUGUUAGCACAGACAAUGCCAAGUUUAUAUUAAAUCCUCCAAAAGGGUAGAAACACAAAUAUGAAGUAUAAUUUUUUAUCUAAGAUCACCUGUAUUACAAAUUUAGUCUGGCUUCCAGUUAAUUAAUUUCUCAAAUCUCUCCCUACAUGCAGUUAGCACUUCAUGGCUACAUAUAUUUCUACAUACAAGUGCAAAAUGAUGAAAAACAUUGAGACCAUGAAAACACAAGAAGCAGCCACAAAAGCCUCAGCUCCUUCUACUUUCAGAAAUCCUGAGUUGAACUGAAUAUCUGCGGGAGACAGUUGAAGAUGAGUCACUCUGACCUCUGUACCUAAAAAUGUAGACAUUAAGUCCUUACCCAUGCAGAAUGUCCUUCCUGAAAUCUGAUAUAAUAAAAUUUAUCUUUAUUUUCUA